rnacentral:lncRNA from 1 species
GGAGAUAGAUCUUUCUCAAUAGGAAGGGAACUGAGAGAUAGAGGGUCUCUCCAGGUAUCUCAGGCUGUCCUCGAACUCAUGGCGAUCCUCCUGCCUCAGCCUCUGGAAUGCUGGGAUUACAGGUGUGCCCCUCCACACCCAGCGCAAUUUUGAUCUUUAACAGACUGUUCUGGUCACUGACAAGGGCCUGAGCCAGGAGUCGAGCAGGCAGGGUGUGGUGAGGUGGAGAGAAUCGGUGGAUGGUGACUUGCUGGGAGACAGGGCCGACAGGACUGGCUGAGGGCUGAGCCAUGGACCCUGGGGGACAGCAGAGUUGGGGACACCUGACAGAGGAACUGGAGGGGAUUCAGCGGAGGACGCCAAGCGCUGGGGUCGGGACUCUCUUCGCUUCAUCUCACGACAGCGCAGGGCAGACCCGGGUGGAACACCGGACGAGGGACUGUAUCCUGGGGACAGAGCCACGGGAGAGGCCGAAGAGAAGACCCGAGCUUCCUGGUUGCCACGGAUUGAGCAUCUUUCCUCUGCCAUUUCCUCCUACCACGCCACGCCUGCCUUAGAAACAGCCACCUAUGGACUGAAUCCAUAAAAUGUGAACCAGAACAGACCUCUCCUUCUUGUUUGUUUUUGGUACCGGAGAUCGAACUCAGGACGUCCACGCUUAGGGAGGCAGGUGGUGGAAGCACUGAGCUAAAUCCCCAGCCCCAACCUCUCCUUCUUUAGGUCAUAGGUGUCAGGUAUUCUGUUCCAGCUACAUGAAGAUGAUUAACACAGAGUUGCCACUAAUUUCUUUGCCCCAGGAAGCCACACUGUCUUGGAUUCACUGUCUUGGUAAUAGAGGAGUUUCAUUUCCAAGUAUAGUAAGUCCCCAACCUUCGAAUAU